UCCCAUGUCGAUACCUUGCAUCUCUUCACCAUCUCUAUGAUCUAAUCAGGAUGGAGCGCAUUAAGGUGAGGCAGCAGAAGUUUAAGAGGGGCAAAGAGAGGAUGCUGAGCAUGACGCAGGAAUCUGGAGAAGGACCGACCCUCAUCCAGCCCGAUGAUGAUGACGAUGACGGAGCACAGCGAACGAAAGCCAAGACCAAAAAAAAGCAGUGGUGGAGGCCGUGGGUUGACCAUGCUUCCAUGGUUAGAAGUGGAGACUAUUAUUUGUUUGAAACUGACAGUGAAGAAGAAGAGGAGGAGGAAGAGAAAAAAGAUGAGGAGCCGCCCAAAGAAGUCGGCAUUUCAGUUUCUUUACCAUGCCUGGAUCACAGACCCUAAAUCUGCACUGAGGGCACGAAGUAAAGAGAAACGCAAAUUUUGGAAGAAAUACACCAAGGGAGUUAGGCACAGGAAAAAUAAGAAAGAAGGUAAGAAGAGCUAGACUUUUCUCAAUGAACAUGACAUGAAAAAAUAAGUGAAUGACAAUUAAUUUUGCACUUCAGAAGGCCAUGUGACCAUAGAUCUUGGUGAGCUGUUGGAAGGACAACAUAAAGAAGACGAGAACAAAAAGUCUGCUGGUCCAGGUCAGGUGCUCUGAGAGGAUUUUAAUGUAAAAUGCAUAGAGAAAUAUAAUGGAAAUACAAUUAGUGCUAUA
rnacentral:lncRNA from 1 species